UACAGAAUAUACAGAGAAAUAAUGCAGUGAUUGACUUUCCAUAACAAAUAACAAUAGAAUUUAAUAAUUAUCAUUACUAUUAAAGUAAUUUAUCUAAAAAUUUGGCCAAAGAAUUUAAGAGUAAUGGUAUUGGAGUCGCCUUCAGAACUAUUAAAUUUCAAAUUUAAGUUCUGAUUGUAAUAUCUUUUGUAAUUUGUGGUUGGAUAUAUAUAUAUAUGGAAAGGGAAACUCCGACACAGGGAAACACGGAAUGGACACGGGAAAACAACAUUUACAAAAUUAUAGGAAACGGAAACGUGGGAAACACAUAAAUAUAAAAAAUAUAGGGGCAUAUAUAUAAAUAUAAAAUAUAUAUAUUUUGUAAAUGUUAUUUUCCCGUGUCCAUUUCCGUGUCUCCCUGUGUCGGAGUUUCCGUUUCCAUGCUACAUAGGGUAUUGGUUAUGACAGAAAACAGAAGUUAAAAGAUAUAAUUCGAUGAAAAUUGAGGAAGAAAAUAGUGAAAGAAAACCAGCUGAUAAAAGAGUCUAGGAUUGUUAUUUAAAUCUGGAAUUUCAAGAACUUCAA
rnacentral:misc_RNA from 1 species